GCACCAGAAGUAGAUAGCUUAACCUUCGGGAGGGCGUUUACCACGGUGUGAUUCAUGACUGGGGUGAAGUCGUAACAAGGUAACCCUAGGGGAACCUGGGGUUGGAUCACCUCCUUACCUUAA
rnacentral:rRNA from 1 species